GGAUGCUGGAAUAAUAGUUGCUUCACAAACAGAGCACAAGCAAUCCUUCUCUUUUCGUCGUGAAACCUUUCACCUGGUGGAAGGGGCGUGUCGGUGGCACCAUCGCCCCUUUAUCCCGUGCGUUUUAUUCCGUUUAAAGGCUAUGUAAUGCUUCGAAUUCUUUUGGGCCUUUAGAUUUCUCUACUGGUAGUAGAGCUCCAAUGAAUGGAAUACGAGGUAAGAUGGUGAACUUCUGGCAGCAUAUCUUUGUUGGCCGCAACAUUUCUGGACACAUUGUCUCCAACCACAUGGACUUAUGGAAGCAAGCCUUUCAUGUUCAGACAGAGCAUGCACUUCGAGGGGCGUGCGGUGUCACCAGGGCUCUCAUUGCACUUGGAGAGGCAUGCAGGGUCACCAGGGUUUUAAUCACAUAUGAUAUAAAGAAGUGG